rnacentral:misc_RNA from 1 species
AGGCUUGUUUCUCUAACAUUCGCAGUGGCCGCCUAAGAGCUUUCGCCUUAGCCAGGCUUGAGAGCUAGUGCUGCUUCAUUCCUUCCUUGGAUGUCUGAUACUCCAAAUCCUAAGUCAAUACUCACGUUCUUCGCACAAAACAUACCUAAUUCUAUUUUCACAUCCAUUAAGAAAAUAUAAUUAAUAUAAUUGAAGCAAUAAAAUUUGUUUAGUCCUUUCCUAAUAUAAUCCCCACUCAUAUUAUUACGCUAAUAAUUGAAUAAUUAAAUAACUCUUGUUACUAAAUUAUUAUUGAAAAGAUUUUAUCUUUUCAAUGCAUAUUAGCAAGUUGAUAAAUAAAUUACUAUUUGAAAACAGAAUCAAGAAUUAUUUACUCAAUAUUUGCUUGAUUUCAUCAGGUUAAACUCUUAGGUAAAUCAAUGCCCAGGUAAAUUUUACCAUAUUCUAUGAAAUUUUUUUACUUCUUUUGUAUCUUCAUGGUUUUUAUUAUCCUGAAUUAAAUUCCUCAUUAUUUGCAACUAUGUUGAGUGCCAUGUGAAUCUCUAUUGUGCUAUGAUGUUCAAUCCAUUCUUUUUUGUCUUGAUUAAUUGUGUAAUUCCUAUACAGUGCCUUUCAAUGCUGUUUUGUCCACAUAAAUAAGAGGCUUUUGGCAAAAUAAAAGGAGUGCAUAAUGCUGUCUUGUUUAGUCUUUCUGUUGAUGAUGACAAAUCUA